CCUACGGGGAGCUGCAGUGGGGAAUAUUGGGCAAUGGAGGAAACUCUGACCCAGCAACGCCGCGUGAAUGAUGAAGGUCUUCGGAUUGUAAAGUUCUUUUCUAAGGGAAGAAGAAAGUGACGGUACCUUAGGAAUAAGCCUCGGCUAACUACGUGCCAGCAGCCGCGGUAAUACGUAGGAGGCGAGCGUUAUCCGGAUUUAUUGGGUUUAAAGGGUGCGUAGGCGGAACAUUAAGUCAGCGGUAAAAUCGAGGGGCUCAACCCCUUUAAGCCGUUGAAACUGGUGAUCUUGAGUGGGCGAGAAGUAUGCGGAAUGCGUGGUGUAGCGGUGAAAUGCAUAGAUAUCACGAAGAACUCCGAUUGCGAAGGCAGCAUACCGGCGCCCGACUGACGCUGAGGCACGAAAGCGUGGGGAUCGAACAGGAUUAGAUACCCCGGUAGUC
rnacentral:rRNA from 1 species